AAUGAACGCUGGCGGCGCGCCUAAUACAUGCAAGUCGAGCGAGAAGACGUAGCAAUACGUUUGUAAAGCGGCGAACGGGUGAGGAAUACAUGGGUAACCUACCCUAGAGUGGGGAAUAACUAGCCGAAAGGUUAGCUAAUACCGCGUACGCUCCUUGGACUUCGGUUCAGGGAGGAAAGCGAUGCCGAGGGUAUCGCGCUCUUGGAUGGGCUCAUGUCCUAUCAGCUUGNGGUGAGGUAACGGCUCACCGAGGCUUCGACGGGUAGCUGGUCUGAGAGGACGAUCAGCCACACUGGCACUGCGACACGGGCCAGACUCCUACGGGAGGCAGCAGUAAGGAUAUUGCGCAAUGGGCGAAAGCCUGACGCAGCGACGCCGCGUGGGGGAGUGAA
rnacentral:rRNA from 1 species